rnacentral:rRNA from 1 species
CCAUGCCGCGUGUGUGAAGAAGGCCUUCGGGUUGUAAAGCACUUUCAGUCGUGAGGAAGGUAGUGUCGUUAAUAGCUGCAUUAUUUGACGUUAGCGACAGAAGAAGCACCGGCUAACUCCGUGCCAGCAGCCGCGGUAAUACGGAGGGUGCGAGCGUUAAUCGGAAUUACUGGGCGUAAAGCGCAUGCAGGUGGUUUGUUAAGUCAGAUGUGAAAGCCCGGGGCUCAACCUCGGAAUAGCAUUUGAAACUGGCAGACUAGAGUACUGUAGAGGGGGGUAGAAUUUCAGGUGUAGCGGUGAAAUGCGUAGAGAUCUGAAGGAAUACCGGUGGCGAAGGCGGCCCCCUGGACAGAUACUGACACUCAGAUGCGAAAGCGUGGGGAGCAAACAGGAUUAGAUACCCCU